GCGUGCUUAACACAUGCAAGUCGAACGAUGAAGCCCUUCGGGGUGGAUUAGUGGCGAACGGGUGAGUAACACGUGGGCAAUCUGCCCUGCACUCUGGGACAAGCCCUGGAAACGGGGUCUAAUACCGGAUACGAGCCUCCCGGGCAUCUGGGAGGUUGGAAAGCUCCGGCGGUGCAGGAUGAGCCCGCGGCCUAUCAGCUUGUUGGUGAGGUAACGGCUCACCAAGGCGACGACGGGUAGCCGGCCUGAGAGGGCGACCGGCCACACUGGGACUGAGACACGGCCCAGACUCCUACGGGAGGCAGCAGUGGGGAAUAUUGCACAAUGGGCGAAAGCCUGAUGCAGCGACGCCGCGUGAGGGAUGACGGCCUUCGGGUUGUAAACCUCUUUCAGCAGGGAAGAAGCGAAAGUGACGGUACCUGCAGAAGAAGCGCCGGCUAACUACGUGCCAGCAGCCGCGGUAAUACGUAGGGCGCAAGCGUUGUCCGGAAUUAUUGGGCGUAAAGAGCUCGUAGGCGGCUUGUCGCGUCGAUUGUGAAAGCCCGGGGCUUAACUCCGGGUCUGCAGUCGAUACGGGCAGGCUAGAGUGUGGUAGGGGAGAUCGGAAUUCCUGGUGUAGCGGUGAAAUGCGCAGAUAUCAGGAGGAACACCGGUGGCGAAGGCGGAUCUCUGGGCCAUUACUGACGCUGAGGAGCGAAAGCGUGGGGAGCGAACAGGAUUAGAUACC
rnacentral:rRNA from 1 species